ACUCCUACGGGAGGCAGCAGUGGGGAAUAUUGCACAAUGGGGGAAACCCUGAUGCAGCAACGCCGCGUGAGUGAUGAAGGCCUUCGGGUUGUAAAGCUCUGUCUUUGGGGACGAUAAUGACGGUACCCAAGGAGGAAGCCACGGCUAACUACGUGCCAGCAGCCGCGGUAAU
rnacentral:rRNA from 1 species